UGGUGGUUAGCUUCUUGUGUACACCACAUCGGACGGGAGCAACAUAUAUAUGCACACACACUAGACGGGAGGUAGGACGAAGUAAAUGCGAUAACAACUCAGCGACAUGGUAGAUGGAGUGUAAGUGUAGAACUAGAGAUGAGUUAUUGACUUAAGUUGCCAUACACUUAUUUAACAUGAACUAUAGGAGUCUUGUUGAGAUUGCACAUCCACUCCUCCAACAAGGUGAGAUUGUUGUACUCGGCUAGAUUUUUAGAUUGAAGGUAGAGCAUAAAGGAAAUUAAUUUCAUUUAGCUACAUUAGGUUCUGUCAAGAUCUUUCAAAGACAAUAUAUCAUCUCUUGUUCUCUACAGAAUACAUAUCAUUGAGAAGAUCAAUGGUUGAAUGAUGUUGUGAAACAAUAUCAACAUCUAAAGAGUAUCAUGUGUUAUAAUAGAAGUCCGCCGUACUGAUUGUCUAAAGAUGUUUAGUACCAUGAUGAUGAUAUAAUAGACGUGCUCCAUUUACUAAAAGAGAGUCCACAGAGAAUCAAUUGUAUAUGUUGUAGCUACCAUGACUAAAAGAGAGUCCACAUUCAUUGACUAACUGAAAUGUUCAGGCUAUCCUUGAAAUUUGUUCCUUAUGUUACAAAACUUCUUAAUCAUAAAAUUAUUAUUAGUUAUAAUAUCUAUUAAAGAAACCAUAUAUUUCAAAAUAAAUUUGCAUCACUAUCAAAAAUAAAUAUUUAAAAAUCAAUAAUGGAGCAAAUUGCUUCUCUUCCCCAACUGUCACUCUCCAAACCUUUUUGAUUUUAGUUUUUAGGCAGGUUUUUUAUGUCGGACGCUUUGGCCUUUCCGGUGGCGAUGGUGGAAGCGCUCAAUAGUCUUCUUCGGCCACACGUUGUUGGUGGUGGUAGUGACGCAAACCCGGCGAAUAAGGUCCCAUCUAGCCCCCCUAUCAAGAGGGUAUUAUCUGUGCCGGCGUCGAUGGCGAAUUUCCUACCGGUCAUUCUAGCUGUUGAGCCCCCAACUGGGUGCAACUAAACUUACCGGAGUCAGACCGUCUGGAUCAAACCUCCUGGCCUCAACUCUACCAAUGACCAUGACUGUAACACGUGGUCGAAUGAUCAGAGGGCCCUGUGCUAUGACUGCCGGUCAUGGAAGGCUGGCGUGCUCGCAAACCUGAAGAAUGACCGGAAGAAGAUCGCCAACGUCAACAUCAUAUUCCUCGCCGUCAUCUACUCUGUUGGGUGCUGCACUUUCAGGAACAAGUAAUAACAGGCCGAACAACUCGUACCCAGCCUGGAAGUGAGGUGCCUGGCGAGGCUUUGGUAAUUAGGCUGGUGUUCAAUGUUAAUGGUUGGCUCAUUGUCCUGUGUCAAGCAACACUAUCGCCCGUCCUAUAGCUCCAAUGAUGUUUGAACCGUUGAUAGUUGGCACAGUACAUGCUUCUAUGUUGACCUCAGAUAUAUCACAUAUGGAGGCUCCUGUUAUCAUGAUA